UUUUUUUUUUGUUGGAGUUUUUGAUUUGUUGGAAUUUUGGUUUUUUUUUCUUGUUUGCAAUUAUACUGUUUGAAAACCUUACCCAUGUCUGCUGCGAAGCAAUGCAGCACUUCAAAAAGGAUUUUAAGGACAGUAAUGUAUGCAACUUACAUCACUAAUCAGCUAUAGAAUGUCAGAUGGCCUAAUGCACGGUUUUAAUUGUAGCAGUUGAUGCACUCUGGAUGCUAUGGAGAGCAUUGAUGUUUUGAUUACAAAAUAGAACUUCACAAGCCAAGGAGGAGCAUGGAGUUGCCUUCCUGCAGCCUCUCUCACGCUCUUGUGUUCUUCCAUCACGCCCGUUAACAACUACACUAGAAACAAGCAGCAGAUUUUUUUCCACUCAAAAAGAUUUUUCAUGUGCUGAAGGGUAAAGUAACAGAAAAUUUGCAGAAUGGCCACAAGAAUCAUACAUAUCCUGGGAGACAUAUCUGUUAGAGAAAUUACUGGAUGAAGAUAUUCACACACAUAGAUUGUGGCAAACAGUGGCGGUGACUCUGGCUGCAGAAAACACAGUGACCAUGAUCCUCCUCUCAGCCUUGCAGGCUGCAUACCUCUGCUGGAUCUCAUGCAUCUGUUGAAAGGAGAAACACCGUGACACAGACUGAUGUCAUACAGACUGAUGGGAUGCUUGGGAGAACUGGAGGCUGAAGCAAAACAUGAGGACCUGUGUGGCUGCACAAUGACCUUGGAUCAAGAGUGACACCCCAGGUGACACCCCAACCACCUGCAUGGAGGACAAGAGAAACCGUGAUGAGGAUUGACCCAACAGAGUGUAGUGGCUCCCCUGGAUCUUACAGAGGCCUAUUGAGAUCUAUAGAUCUGUAUUCAAGGACUCCUGAAUAGAUCUCAUGACUGGCCUGACAAACCACGGCUGCUACAAAGGAGACACUGCCAGAUGCUGUAAAUCUGUUGCAGACCUCAUGUAGCUGAGCGUCGCCUUGCAGGCUGCCCCAUGUGCAGCGCCACACCCAGGAGCUGAAAGUAAACCCAUGGAGUGCUGGAAACCAUAUAAACGAUUGGUAACACAUGCAUAAAGAAGGCAGGCUGAUGAUCUAUGGGAUUUUCUUUGUUGAAGCAACCACAGCCCGAAGCCUGGUCUGUUGAAACA